rnacentral:rRNA from 1 species
GAUGAACGCUAGCGGCGUGCCUAAUACAUGCAAGUCGAGCGAACGGACGAGAAGCUUGCUUCUCUGAUGUUAGCGGCGGACGGGUGAGUAACACGUGGAUAACCUACCUAUAAGACUGGGAUAACUUCGGGAAACCGGAGCUAAUACCGGAUAAUAUUUUGAACCGCAUGGUUCAAAAGUGAAAGACGGUCUUGCUGUCACUUAUAGAUGGAUCCGCGCUGCAUUAGCUAGUUGGUAAGGUAACGGCUUACCAAGGCAACGAUGCAUAGCCGACCUGAGAGGGUGAUCGGCCACACUGGAACUGAGACACGGUCCAGACUCCUACGGGAGGCAGCAGUAGGGAAUCUUCCGCAAUGGGCGAAAGCCUGACGGAGCAACGCCGCGUGAGUGAUGAAGGUCUUCGGAUCGUAAAACUCUGUUAUUAGGGAAGAACAUAUGUGUAAGUAACUGUGCACAUCUUGACGGUACCUAAUCAGAAAGCCACGGCUAACUACGUG